rnacentral:rRNA from 1 species
GUUUACGGCCCAUAUCCUGGUGAAAAUACGGCUUUCCCGUCCGAUCAGCCAUAGUCAAGCACCAGAGAGCCCAGUUAGUAUUGUAGUGGGAGACCAUACGAGAAUCCUGGGUACUGUAAUU